UACGUAGGGGGGCAAGCGUUGUCCGGAUUUAUUGGGCGUAAAGAGCGUGUAGGCGGCCACACAGGUCAGCUGUGAAAAACUCGAGGCUCAACCUCGAGACGUCGGUUGAAAACCGUAUGGCUAGAGUCCGGAAGAGGAGAGUGGAAUUCCCGGUGUAGCGGUGAAAUGCGCAGAUAUCAGGAGGAACACCGGUGGCGAAGGCGGAUCUCUGGGCCAUUACUGACGCUGAGGAGCGAAAGCGUGGGGAGCGAACAGG
rnacentral:rRNA from 1 species